ensembl:lncRNA UBA6-DT UBA6 divergent transcript
GUUUCCGGUUUGGGUGUGGCCGCAUGGCGUGCUGUGGUGCAGGUGGCCGAAGGGGGCGUUACUGUUGCGACUGGCAUCCGCAUCCGGCAGAUGUAGAUGGAACCAAAGUCCAGAAGUUACGCGUCACCCUUGCUCUACAGCCAAACAUGCAGGACUCUAGUAACCCGCGAAAUGAUGGGAUAGCGUUGCAAAUCCUUAAAAGAGUCUUAACGGAGAAGGGAAAAUGUUACAUUGUCAAAGUCCCAAAGCCUUUCAGCCUGAAGCCAGGAACAAUUGUUCAAAGUUUCUUUGGAACAUCAAGGAAGGAAAUCCAGAUUUUACUUUAAGUGCAAUGGGGAGUCAUUAAGGAUUUUGUGUAGAUACAGCAAAAAGACAACAAUCUUCAAGCCACAAUGGCCCUCACCAGAACCCAGCCAUGUGGUCAGCCUGAUCUCGGACUUCACAGCCAGCAGAACUGUUUGUCAAAGAUCAGAUGGUUUCCUUAAGCUGAUAAGCAACUUCAACAAAGUCUCAGGAUACAAAAUCAAUGUGCAAAAAUCAUAAGCAUUCUUAUACACCAAUAACAGACAAACAGCCAAAUCAUGAGUGAACUUCCAUUCAUAAUUGCACAAAGAGAAUCAAAUACCUAGGAAUCCAGCUUACAAGGGAUGUGAAGGACCUCUUCAAGGAGAACUACAAACCACUGCUCAAUGAAAUAAAAGGGGACACAAACAAAUGGAAGAACAUUCCAUGCUCAUGGUUAGGAAGAAUCAAUAUCGUGAAAAUGGCCAUACUGCCCAAGAUAAUUUAUAGAUUCAAUGCCAUCCCCAUCAAGCUACCAAUGACUUUCUUCACAGAAUUGGAAGAAACUACGUUAAAGUUCAUAUGGAACCAGAAAAGAGCCUGCACUGCCAAGACAACCCUAAGCAAAAAGAACAAAGCUGGAGGCAUCAUGCCACCUGACUUCAAACUAUACUACAAGGCUACAGUAACCAAAGCAGCAUGGUACUGGUACCAAAACAGAGAUAUAGACCAACGGAACAGAACAGAGGCCUCAGAAAUAACACCACGCAUCUACAGUCUAUGGUAUUUUACUAUGGAAGCCCACCCUAAGAUUUCAAUUUAGCUUCCAUGUAGUUCCCUGGUGCUUGGCAAUCUCCUGACUCACUACCUUGUCACAUGGUCUAUCCCAAGUCAGUCCUUCUCCUCUUCCCAUAUCCCCCUACUCCAAUAUUCACCCAUAUGUGGCCAAGUCUUCCUCCACCUGAGCUCCUUGCAGAGGAAUGAACAAUUGUUUGAACAUUAAUGAAUAUUAAAUGUAUAACCUGAAUCUAACCUUGAGAGGACAAAUCCCAACUGAGAGACAUUUUACAAAAUGACUGGUCUGCACUCUCCAAAAAUGUCAAUAUCAUGAAACACAAAGAAAGACUGAGAAAUGGUUCCAGCUAAAAGAAUACUAAAGAGGUAUGCAACUGAAUCCACCACAUAAUCUUGGAUUUUCUUUUGUUAAAAGGGCAAAAAUUAAACCGGGAUAACUUAUGAGCUCUGAAUAGAACAUAUAAAUUAAAUAGUGGUAUUGUAUCAAUGUUAAAUUUCUUAUUUUGACAAUCAUUACUGUGGCUGUGUGUGAGAGGCCUUAAACACACAUUGAAGUAUUGAGGGGUAAAGAAAAAUCAUGUCUACAGCUUACUUUUAAGCAAUUGGGAAAAAGUAGAUAAGAUAAAAUAAAUAAGCAAAUGUAAAAUAUUAAUAUUUGAGAAAAUCUGGGUGAAGGUAUCCAGAAAUAUGUAUGAUUCUUGUAACCAUUCUCUGAGUGUCAAAUUAUUUUUAAAAAGCCUUUAUCCUACAACUUUUAAA